GCCUUCGUAGUGUAAUGGUUAGCAUACUCGGCGCGUAAUCAGGAGGUCCGAGUUCGAGUCCCGGCGGAGGCA
rnacentral:tRNA from 1 species